GCGAGUCUAUUCAUCACUGUUUAUUAUUUACCCUCGUCAUUUUACGAUAAUUACUUCAGAAAUAGAAUUAUGCAGAUUUUUUAGAAGGUCAAAGAAGGGAAAAUGGGUGUUUUAUGGAAGCCCAAGUAAGUACAUUAUCAUGCUUGUCAUCCAUCAGAUUACAUCGUUAACAGAUGAUCGGAGUGCGCCAUGAUGUUUAUAGAUGUUAACGGUAUAAAACCUCCUUAGAACCUCCUAUUAAGCCUGGAACCGUGGAAUCUCCCCUCUGAGGAAAGAUAAUAAGAAGAUGAAGGCGGUAGUAGGUCUGCUCUUUCUGACUUUCGCGUCCUGUCAUGUACACAACCGAUUCGGCGGCAAUAGAUUCAUGUCCCCCAGAGGCAAUUUCUUCUCUGAUAGACGACAAUUGAUGUCAGAAUUUAACAAUGGCGUGAACUUCGGAAAUCAGAUCGGAGAUGUUGGCGGUUUUCCAGCUGAUUUUAUCGGAGCUCCAGCUUUAGGCGUCAGCCCUUCAGCUAACGAUCUUGGAAUUGACAACGCCGGGUUGGGAGUUUCUGCUUUCGACGGAUUUUCCUCCGAUAGGUCCGGACGUUGGGGUUCACAAGGAAGCGGAUUCUCAUCUUCCUCUUGGGAUAACGGAGGAUUUGAUACAAAUUUUGGCCAGCAAGAUUUUCCCGGCGGAUCUCAGUGGCAGAGUGGAGGAAACCAACCUUCAAGUUUCACUUCCGGUGGAUUUAAUGAUUUAUCCUACCGUCCUUCUCAUCAAAGAGGUGGGCGGCGACCGCGGUACUGAAAUGUUGCUGUCAAACUGCUGUUGUAUAUUUCAUCAUUUUGUCGUUCAUUGAUAAAAUUUAUGAAACUUG